UACGCGGACGCAGGAGAGAGCGGGGCUUGCCCCGCCGCCGAAGGCGCAACCGGCCCCCGGAACCGCUCAGGCAAAAGGGCUGCGGAUCGGUC
rnacentral:ncRNA from 2 species